UAUAACUGUUAUGUGCUACACUUUCCUACGACUGGCAGCGCAGGUGUUUACACCAGCAUCACCACAAACACGUGAGCAAUGCAUUGUGGUAUGACUUAACAACCACCACAGUGUCACCAGGCGAUAGGAAUUUUCCAGCUCCAUUAUCGUCUUACAGGACCAUAUAUGCAGUCCACUGUUGACCUAAACGUCGUUAUAUGGCCCAUCACUGUACAGGGUGCAGUUUUCAGGGAUUACAGGCCCAGAGAGAUUCAGGAAUGCACACCUACAGGCUAACUAAGACAGACCCAAAAGGUGCUAGGGACUGAGGAGGGUGCACCCGUUGGCCAAGUGUAAUGACACAGAAAUGCUGGUGCAUGCAAGUUGCCAAAAAGAGCAGGCUGAGGAUAGUACAAAAAAAGGCCAGGCUAACCGGCACGCACUGCUAGGGCUAAGGGGCGGGGUGACCUUGAGUUGGGGAAUCAAGAGAAUGAGCAGUUACCAACGCCCAGCCCUCCCACUUCGGUCACCUCCUGUUCCAAGACCCCACGGGGAUCUAACAGAGGCGAAUGGGCUCAAGAAUCCAGGAUUGAGGGCAUGAUGACCACAGGAAUAGUAGCGAGGCUGUUGCUGUUUCUGCUGCUGGCACUAGGCAGGCGAGGCAAGUUGGGGUGCGCGGCGCACGCAGGCGCAGGGGGCCCUACCCUCAGGCCCACACCUCUCCUGUUGCCGGGGAACGUGCUGCAGCUGAAGCCCAGACUCCUGGACCACGCACUCAUAGAGGCAGUCCGGGAGGGAGUGGGUGAGGGUACAGAAUUCUGAAUUCAUGGAGGUGGGGCUGGGGCUGGAACUCCUGGUUCUCUGAAUGAAGACAGAGCUGAGGGUUCCACCAGUUCCCGAAGAAGGUUGAGGGGCCGUAAGUCCUUUGUUCUGGCAAAGAAAACUGGGUGGGUCGGAAAGCUGGGGACCUGGAGAUCUGGUUGUGAGGAAAGAGGAGACGGGGGUGGGGAGUCAGAUAUCGAGGGAAGAGGGGCAGUGGGCUUGAGCUCCUGGUUCAAGGUGGAGUCGUGCUACUCUGUCCCCAACCUCCAUUCCUGGGUCCUGAGGGAAGAGCUGGGUGAGGAGUCCGAUGCCGGGGGAGGCGGGCAAAGGGGCCUGUUCUCCUGGUGCAAGGCUGGAAGGGGGAGUAUUGAGGGCCCAGAAGCCUAGUUCUGAAGGUGCAGGGGGCUGGACACCUGGCUUUCUGGAUCCUGAGGGAAGAGGGAGCCUGGACUCCUGGGUCUGAGGGAGAAAGAGGCUGGGGAUCAGAACUCCUGGGCCUGGAAUGAGGGCGGAGAAACGGAAACUCCCGGGUCUGAAGGGAGCUGGAGGCGGGGCUCCGGAGUCUUGGAGGAGGAAGCGGGGGUCGGGAGCCCGAACCAGGAUCUGCUGAGCACCGGCUCCACGUAGCUCUGGCCGCUGAGACCCGCGCUCUACAGUGAUGCUGUGCGGCUUCGCAACACUGCGAGACAUGUUAGCGCUGCAGGGGGACACCUUCUCCGGCUGCGAGGUCAUGGCAGUCUUUGAACGCCUCCCACUCGGAAGCCGUGAGGCCCAGGAGGUGGAAAGGCGGGCCUGGACAUCCUGUUUGGGCAGCAAAGGGCGGGACCGGGAAAAUGGAGCGGGGCCCAAUAGAGUCAAAGCUAAAGAGCGCAAACCGGGAGGAGGGCGGGGUGGAGCUAAAGUGUCAGGUCGAGUCGGGGGCGGAAGGGUUGCUCGCCUCGUGCAACCCACAGAAGAGCCUAAGAGUCUAAGCCAAAGAGAGCAAGCGCUGGUCAGAGAUUGAGACCAACAGAGGUGGGGCAAAUGUGUGAAGAGGUGGCAACCAAAAGGUCUAAGAAGCAAAGCAAAGGGUUGCAAGGAAGUCGGCCCGCCCCCUGAACACUUCCCGGGGGCGUGGCUAACUCCUGGCCCUCCCCUUUCUCUGCCUCACCCCUAGGUAUCGCGUUCGGGUUGGUACGCGGACCAUCCUGGAGCGCGUCCUGGAGGCGGCGGCUCGUUGGCUUGGCGAAAUUUCAAGCCACUAUUGGUGCGGCCUGUUUGGGAAAGCAGAGGGAGCUGGUGUGGCUAACAGACCAGAAGGGGCCGCCGGAAGGCGUUUGGGUGGAACGAAGCCAGUAAGCCCAAGAGCUAGCUGGGAGCCGACCCACAGCGUUAUGACCUCGCCCUGUUCCCACUUCCAGGGGUCCCGUUCAACCCCCGGCGGCUACUAGAUAAUGCUGUGCAUCUGUUAUCUGUUUCGUGGUCUUUGGGAACCGCUGUGGAUACAAGUACCAGGAGUUCCUGAGGCUCCUGGACCUCUUCAGUGACAACUUCCGCAUCAUGAGUUCCAGACGGGGAGAGAACUUCGGGUCUUCAUCUCUGAUCAAAUGCAGCGGCACCAGCAGACGCGACAGCCUGGGGAACCCGCGAUUUAAUGGACUGCUCCCUCCAGCAGAUGGGUAAGGUGCAGACCCCUGCUGCCCUAAACUCUAUCCAUGCCGCCUACAAGGAGGUGCCUGGCAUGCAGCAGCACCUGUUUCCUCUGUCCACAGGAACAGAACCACCCUGAGUCACUUCCUGUAAGAGACUUCGAAGACAACACAUAACCCUUUUUUCGGCAGCACCAAGACCAGGAGCACCACCCUGUACUGCCGGCUCCUUAUUCUACUCAGCGGAUGUGCCUGAAUGCAGACCUGCCCCAUCGGAGAUCUUCCUCUUCUUCACCAUCACCCUGCAGCAGUUCUGCCUCCUCCCUGUGGGGAGCCCGACCAAUAUACUCGUAGACCUCACCCCGCAGUGCACUGGCCUGGGCAAUGUCCCCCCAGCCUCCCAG